rnacentral:rRNA from 1 species
AAUUUCGGUCAUCGAUGGGGAUGCGUUCCAUUAGGUUGUUGGCGGGGUAACGGCCCACCAAGCCUUCGAUGGAUAGGGGUUCUGAGAGGAAGGUCCCCCACAUUGGAACUGAGACACGGUCCAAACUCCUACGGGAGGCAGCAGUGAGGAAUAUUGGUCAAUGGACGAGAGUCUGAACCAGCCAAGUAGCGUGAAGGAUGACUGCCCUAUGGGUUGUAAACUUCUUUUAUACGGGAAUAAAGUGAGGCACGUGUGCCUUUUUGUAUGUACCGUAUGAAUAAGGAUCGGCUAACUCCGUGCCAGCAGCCGCGGUAAUACGGAGGAUCCGAGCGUUAUCCGGAUUUAUUGGGUUUAAAGGGAGCGUAGGCGGACGCUUAAGUCAGUUGUGAAAGUUUGCGGCUCAACCGUAAAAUUGCAGUUGAUACUGGGUGUCUUGAGUACAGUAGAGGCAGGCGGAAUUCGUGGUGUAGCGGUGAAAUGCUUAGAUAUCACGAAGAACUCCGAUUGCGAAGGCAGCUUGCUGGACUGUAACUGACGCUGAUGCUCGAAAGUGUGGGUAUCAAACAGGAUUAGAUACCCUGGUAGUCCACACAGUAAACGAUGAAUACUCGCUGUUUGCGAUAUACAGUAAGCGGCCAAGCGAAAGCGUUAAGUAUUCCACCUGGGGAGUACGCCGGCAACGGUGAAACUCAAAGGAAUUGACGGGGGCCCGCACAAGCGGAGGAACAUGUGGUUUAAUUCGAUGAUACGCGAGGAACCUUACCCGGGCUUGAAUUGCAACUGAAUGAUGUGGAGACAUGUCAGCCGCAAGGCAGUUGUGAAGGUGCUGCAUGGGUUGUCGUCAGCUCGUGCCGUGAGGUGUCGGCUUAAGUGCAUAACGA